UACGAAGGGGGCUAGCGUUGCUCGGAAUCACUGGGCGUAAAGCGCACGUAGGCGGAUUGUUAAGUCAGGGGUGAAAUCCUGGAGCUCAACUCCAGAACUGCCUUCGAUACUGGAAAGCUCGAGUCCGGGAGAGGUGAGUGGAACUGCGAGUGUAGAGGUGAAAUUCGUAGAUAUUCGCAAGAACACCAGUGGCGAAGGCGGCUCACUGGCCCGGUACUGACGCUGAGGUGCGAAAAGCGUGGGGAGCAAACAGG
rnacentral:rRNA from 1 species